AACGAACUCCGUGAGGAGGUCAGAGCCAUCCGCCAUCCCUGCUGCAAUGAAUCUGUAGAUGCUGGGGUACUGCCUCUGGAUUUGCCCGUGCACAACAUUGAGGAGCUAAACAAUGCAGAGGCAGCUCUUCAAUCACAAGAGGCAAAUAAGGCAAUGGUAAGUAUAUAAAGGUUAUGUACACUUUGUAACUAUAAAGUGUAAUAGCUGUCAGAUGUGAUUUAAAUACAUAACAACGGCAUGUUGAUCAUACACACAAGCACUUGCAUACACAUUUAAGACAUGAGACACGCUAAUUCCAUCUCUUAAAAUGUGUCUAUAGGUGAGACGCUUUGCCUUGAUUGGAGGGACCACACUGGAGGUGCGAGUCCGCCGUGUAAUGGCUUAUGCCAUUACAAAUGAGCUGGCCUCGAUACUCAACUGGGCAGGGAAAAAACCAAGGAUCAGACAAAUCAAAAAAGGGCAUUUAAAGAUAAAGCGCUGUGCAGAUGCAUAUUUGAUGGCCUGACGCAGCAGUUAGGGGCGAAUUCUAUGUCCGAGUUUGUCUUUGCACAAGCAGUCCAGAAAUGGCUCCGAUACACCCCAGAUCAUAUGGGUGGCGCAGGAC